rnacentral:rRNA from 1 species
CCUACGGGGGGCAGCAGUGGGGAAUAUUGGGCAAUGGACGCAAGUCUGACCCAGCAACGCCGCGUGAAGGAAGAAGGCUUUCGGGUUGUAAACUUCUUUUAAGGGGGAAGAGCAGAAGACGGUACCCCUUGAAUAAGCCACGGCUAACUACGUGCCAGCAGCCGCGGUAAUACGUAGGUGGCAAGCGUUGUCCGGAUUUACUGGGUGUAAAGGGCGUGCAGCCGGAGAGACAAGUCAGAUGUGAAAUCCACGGGCUCAACCCGUGAACUGCAUUUGAAACUGUUUCCCUUGAGUGUCGGAGAGGUAAGAGGAAUUCCUAGGGUAGCGGUGAAAUGCGUAGAUAUUAGGAGGAACACCAGUGGCGAAGGCGUCUUACUGGACCGAAACUGACGUUGAGGCUCGAAAGCGUGGGGAGCAAACAGGAUUAGAUACCCGAGUAGUC